AUUGAACGCUGGCGGCAGGCCUAACACAUGCAAGUCGAGCGGAUGAAGGGAGCUUGCUCCUGGAUUCAGCGGCGGACGGGUGAGUAAUGCCUAGGAAUCUGCCUGGUAGUGGGGGAUAACGUCCGGAAACGGGCGCUAAUACCGCAUACGUCCUGAGGGAGAAAGUGGGGGAUCUUCGGACCUCACGCUAUCAGAUGAGCCUAGGUCGGAUUAGCUAGUUGGUGGGGUAAAGGCCUACCAAGGCGACGAUCCGUAACUGGUCUGAGAGGAUGAUCAGUCACACUGGAACUGAGACAGGGUCCAGACUCCUAGGGGAGGCAGCAGGGGGGAAUAUGGGACAAUGGGCGAAAGCCUGAUCCAGCCAUGCCGCGUGGGUGAAGAAGGUCUUCGGAGUGUAAAGCACUUUAAGUUGGGAGGAAGGGCAGUAAGUUAAAACCUUGCUGUUUUGACGUUACCAACAGAAUAAGCACCGGCUAACUUCGU
rnacentral:rRNA from 1 species